rnacentral:rRNA from 1 species
GACGAACGCUGGCGGCGUGCCUAAUACAUGCAAGUAGAACGCUGAAGCGAGGAGCUUGCUCUUCUUGGAUGAGUUGCGAACGGGUGAGUAACGCGUAGGUAACCUGCCUUGUAGCGGGGGAUAACUAUUGGAAACGAUAGCUAAUACCGCAUAACAAUGGGUGACACAUGUCAUUUAUUUGAAAGGGGCAAUUGCUCCACUACAAGAUGGACCUGCGUUGUAUUAGCUAGUAGGUGAGGUAAUGGCUAACCUAGGCGACGAUACAUAGCCGACCUGAGAGGGUGAUCGGCCACACUGGGACUGAGACACGGCCCAGACUCCUACGGGAGGCAGCAGUAGGGAAUCGUCGGCAAUGGGGGCAACCCUGACCGAGCAACGCCGCGUGAGGGAAGAAGGAUUUCGGAUCGUAAAGCUCUGUUGUAAGUCAAGAACGGGUGUGAGAGUGGAAAGUUCACAGUGUGACGGUAGCUUACCAGAAAGGGACGGCUAACUACGUG